GAGACAUUCAACUGUACUAUUGAUGCUACUGUGAUGAUAAAUAUGUGCAGUUUUCUUCGUCAUUGAGCUAUACAUUGUGCAUGAGUUUAUGCAGGUAAUAACAUUUCAAUACGAUAUAUGAUAUCAGCUGAAGUGACAAAAGAUUACUCCUUAAGACUACUGAACCAGUUGGCAAUGGUUGUACAUAGGCCCUUUGUGUCAUUUAUCGAAAGAGUCUUAACCACUUGAGCAAUAGCAUCUGCUGGAGUGUAUACAGCUCCUACUCGCCAUUUUGGUUCCUGUACACAUGGUGUGAUGUGGUUCCCGGUUAAUGCAAUUUUCUCCACUUUCCCACCAAAAGAUUCUACACGAGGCUUUAGUGUCUCUUCAAGCCGAUCUGUCUCAUCAAUCGCGUCAUUGUCAAAUUUCACCAGCAGUGUACGGUUGACAUUAUAGGCGUUUUUGAAACACUCCAGAUUUUCUGAAGGUGUUGGCUUAAACUCUGAUAUCCCUUGAGCAAGCUCGCCAAAUACCAAAGGCAGCUGAUCAGCAAAUUUAGUCAAUGAAACAACUGUUUCUGGAUCAUAGUCGGGGAUGAUUGUUCCAGCUGUAUCAAGCAACACCCUCAACGCAUCUCCUGAAGCCGAUUGAGCCAUUGAAUAUGCUGGAGAUAUAACAGGCACCAUCUGGCCAACAAGAAGACCCAACUGCUCAAAAUAUGGCACUGCCUCUGAUGCUGGCCUAUUGUUGUACGAUAUUAUAACAUUAGCCUUAGGUAUCUUCUCACAAAAAUAACUUCCUACAAGCGCUUGAAUAAGAGCACCAUUACUGUGGCCAACUGAAUAGAGUGGCAAAUCAACAAUGUCAUCAGCAGAAAGACCAGAAUCAGGCAACCCUGAUGCUAAAAUUGGAUCAAAACAAGCAUGAAACCUCUCAAAAACCUGUCUUGAUACUUGCGCAUGAUCAAAUGUCACAUUAUAAGGUACACAAAUUAUCAGAUACCCUUCUCUCGCCAAAUUCUCCAGUAAAUAACUGUAAGUAACUUCAGGAACAGCUCCAAUAAAAGCACCACCCACAAAUUUGAUAAUAGCUUUGGGUUUUAUACCCUUUGGGGGAGGUAUAACCAAACAAGAAUCCAUCCUUUUGUAAAACUUACCAGUAGUGGGAGUAUUGUAAUUGGUUCUUGUGGAGUUGAAACUACCUAUGCCCAUAUAGUCAUUUGAGAGCGUCAUUUUAGGAAACUUGAAGAUCUUUGGGUUCUUGAGAUUUCUGGGAGAAAAGGGGCGGAAUAAAUAUGGAAAAUUGUUUGGGAAAAGGGGUUUUUGCUUGGUUUCAAGAAGAUUAGAAGUGAAAGUAGUGGUAGCCAUGUAAGCUGCAGAAGUAGAAGUCAUUUCUCUACUGUGAGAGUGAAGAAGAAGCAGUGAGGGAAAAUGGAAAGUUUU
rnacentral:misc_RNA from 1 species